GAUGAAGAACGUAGUGAAAUGCGAUAAGUAAUGUGAAUUGCAGAAUUCAGUGAAUCAUCGAAUCUUUGAACGCACAUUGCGCCCGCCAGUAUUCUGGUGGGCAUGCCUGUUCGAGCGUCAUUUCAACCCUCAAGACCCCUUCGGGGGACUUGGUGUUGGGGACCGGCACAGGGGCCUGCCUGCUUGUCUUGCAGCGCCCUCGCCGCCCCCGAAAUGAAUUGGCGGCCUCGUCGCGGCCUCCCCUGCGUAGUAGCACAAACCUCGCAACGGGAACGUGACGGCGGCCACUGCCGUAAAACAACCCAAUUUUAUUAGAGUUGACCUCGAAUCAGGUAGGAAUACCCGCUGAACUUAAGCAUAUCAAUAAGCGGAGGA
rnacentral:misc_RNA from 1 species